rnacentral:lncRNA from 1 species
AAGACCUGCCUGUUGGGAAGCUGAAUUAACUUGGAUAUGUAGCAAUGCAAGGAGUAAACAGUUCAAAAAAGCUGUGGUAGCUACUGCAUUUGUUACGAUUGUUUCAUUGAUUUGGAGAGGGAGGAAUGCAUUACGAUUUCAGAAACAGCCUCUUGAUGAACACAAAUUGUGCAGAGAAAUUGCUAUCCUCAUUCAUGCACGAGGCAGGAGAUGCAAGACUUGGUUAAAAGGAUUACGACAACUCAAUUACUAUCCUUAGUUAUUGUCAGUUUAUAGGUGAUUUGUAAUAAUUUAGCUUGAUAGC